AUGGCCAACGCUCAUGUCAAUAUGAAUUUCAACGCGUUCCUAGAGAAAACCAAGCUGAAAGAUGAUGGCGGCAACUAUACGGACUGGGUCCGGAACCUGAGGAUCAUCCUCAUAGCUGCCAAGAAAGCAUAUGUCCUAGAAGCACCGUUAGGUGACCCACCUGCUCUCCCAGCACUGCCAGACGAUUUGAACGUUUGGCAGACACGUACUGAUGAUUACUCCCUCGUUCAGUGCGGCAUGCUUUACAGCUUAGAACCGGGGCUCCAAAAGCGUUUUGAGCGACACGGAGCAUAUGAGAUGUUCGAAGAGCUGAAACUAGUUUUCCAAGCUCAUGCCCGGGUCAAGAGAUAUGAAGUCUCCGACAAGUUCUAUAGUUGUAAGAUGGAGGAAAACAGUUCUGUCAGUGAGCACAUACUCAAAAUGUCUGGGUUGCACAGCCGCCUGUCCUAG
rnacentral:rRNA from 1 species